AGUUAUUUGCAUAAGUGCAAUAAUAAUCUGUUUUUAUUUGUAACAGGACACAAUUGGAGAAACUGGUUAUUCUACCAUGGCUUUGACUGGAAUGGUGUGCUUUCCUUUAAGGAAUUAAACUUGCUUUAUGAAGCCAGUAAAAGCCACAUGCCCUGUCUACACAGUCCCUGAACAGGGUUCCUGAUCUGUGGACAUGGGUAUUCUCAACCUGCUAAUAAUGAGCUACCUAUCUAGGGUAGCUAUCAGGACCUACCUAUCUAGGAAUAAACUAUCCUAGCCAUGAUAGACCCGAUGAUACCUGAGACCAGAGACUCGUUUUCUUCUAAAUUGCUUUCUCCAAAAGAUGUUUGAAAAUAAAAGGGGAAAUGUGAAAGGAAACUAUCUUGGGACCCCCAAAAUCACUCAGCUAAAGGAAAAGUCAAGCUGGCAAUGGCUUAAGGCAAACCUGCCUCCUGUUCUAUUCAAAAUCACCCCGUGCUCACUGAGAUAGAUGCAUAUCUAAUUGUCUCCUUCGGAGAGGCUCAUCAGAAACUCAAAAGAAUGCAACCAUUUGUCUCUCACCUACCUGUGACCUGGAAGCCCCCUCCCUGCUUGAGUUCUCCCACCUUUCCAGAGCGAACCAAUGUUCAUCUUACAUAUGUUGAUUGAUGUCUCAUGUCUCCCUAAAAUGUGUAAAACCAAACUAUGCUCUGACUGCCUUAGCACAUGUCACCAGGACCUUCUGAGGCUGUGUCAUGGACGCGAGUCCUCAACCUUCGCAAAAUAAACUUUCUAAAUGAACUGA